UGUGUAGAGUCCCUUGAGGCCACAAAACUAUGAGCCCAUGAGGAUUCUAAGACUCAACACAGCGUUGAAGCUCAGACACUCAAGCCAUGCUGUUUUAGGGAACCUUGGGUCUAUUCAAAAGUAGGCUGAGUGAAGAAAGGCAUGUCCUAGACUUCAGAGCCUGUUUGGUGGCACUCAGCUGUUCCAAUCUCAACAUCAGCAUCCUUGUGAAUCACGUGGUGACAUCAGAGGAGUCUCAUCCCAUACUGGUGGAGAACCUGCACGAAAACGAACUUCCGGUCACUUACUGGGUUCCAUAUUUGGCAAAGAAGAUGAGAAAUCAUAUUUCCAAAAAAGGGACUGAGGUGAUAACAGCUCUUGGAAAUCCCCUUGAUAGAACUCAGCAAGGCACGUUGUAGAAUGCGGGUUGAGUCAUAUUAUUUUUCAAUUCAGCUCGACAGGAAAUUACAGAUCGCCAAUG